rnacentral:rRNA from 3 species
GACGAGGCACUACGGUGCUGAAGCAACAAAUGCCCUGCUUCCAGGAAAAGCCUCUAAGCAUCAGGUAACACGAAAUCGUACCCCAAACCGACACAGGUGGUCAGGUAGAGAAUACCAAGGCGCUUGAGAGAACUCGGGUGAAGGAACUAGGCAAAAUGGUGCCGUAACUUCGGGAGAAGGCACGCUGACACGUAGGUGAAGUGAUUUACUCAUGGAGCUGAAGUCAGUCGAAGAUACCAGCUGGCUGCAACUGUUUAUUAAAAACACAGCACUGUGCAAACACGAAAGUGGACGUAUACGGUGUGACGCCUGCCCGGUGCCGGAAGGUUAAUUGAUGGGGUCAGCGUAAGCGAAGCUCCUGAUCGAAGCCCCGGUAAACGGCGGCCGUAACUAUAACGGUCCUAAGGUAGCGAAAUUCCUUGUCGGGUAAGUUCCGACCUGCACGAAUGGCGUAAUGAUGGCCAGGCUGUCUCCACCCGAGACUCAGUGAAAUUGAACUCGCUGUGAAGAUGCAGUGUACCCGCGGCAAGACGGAAAGACCCCGUGAACCUUUACUAUAGCUUGACACUGAACAUUGAGCCUUGAUGUGUAGGAUAGGUGGGAGGCUUUGAAGUGUGGACGCCAGUCUGCAUGGAGCCGACCUUGAAAUACCACCCUUUAAUGUUUGAUGUUCUAACGUGGACCCGUAAUCCGGGUUGCGGACAGUGUCUGGUGGGUAGUUUGACUGGGGCGGUCUCCUCCUAAAGAGUAACGGAGGAGCACGAAGGUUGGCUAAUCCUGGUCGGACAUCAGGAGGUUAGUGCAAUGGCAUAAGCCAGCUUGACUGCGAGCGUGACGGCGCGAGCAGGUGCGAAAGCAGGUCAUAGUGAUCCGGUGGUUCUGAAUGGAAGGGCCAUCGCUCAACGGAUAAAAGGUACUCCGGGGAUAACAGGCUGAUACCGCCCAAGAGUUCAUAUCGACGGCGGUGUUUGGCACCUCGAUGUCGGCUCAUCACAUCCUGGGGCUGAAGUAGGUCCCAAGGGUAUGGCUGUUCGCCAUUUAAAGUGGUACGCGAGCUGGGUUUAGAACGUCGUGAGACAGUUCGGUCCCUAUCUGCCGUGGGCGCUGGAGAACUGAGGGGGGCUGCUCCUAGUACGAGAGGACCGGAGUGGACGCAUCACUGGUGUUCGGGUUGUCAUGCCAAUGGCACUGCCCGGUAGCUAAAUGCGGAAGAGAUAAGUGCUGAAAGCAUCUAAGCACGAAACUUGCCCCGAGAUGAGUUCUCCCUGAGACUUAGAGUCUCCUGAAGGAACGUUGAAGACGACGACGUUGAUAGGCCGGGUGUGUAAGCGCAGCGAUGCGUUGAGCUAACCGGUACUAAUGAACCGUGAGGCUUAACCUUACAACGCCGAAG